rnacentral:rRNA from 1 species
CAGCAGCCGCGGGAAUACGAGGGGGGCAAGCGUUGUUCGGAUUUAUUGGGCGUAAAGGGUGCGUAGGCGGUUUGGCAAGUCUUGUGUGAAAUCUUCGGGCUCAACCCGAAGCCUGCACGAGAAACUACCGGGCUUGAGUAUUGGAGAGGUGAGUGGAAUUUCCGGUGUAGCGGUGAAGUGCGUAGAUAUCGGAAGGAACACCUGUGGCGAAAGCGGCUCACUGGACAAUAACUGACGCUGAUGCACGAAAGCUAGGGGAGCAAACAGGAUUAGAUACCCCUGUAGUCCCUGUCUCUUAUAA